rnacentral:rRNA from 1 species
UUGGGAAUAUUGGACAAUGGGCGAAAGCCUGAUCCAGCAAUGCCGCGUGAGUGAUGAAGGCCUUCGGGUCGUAAAGCUCUUUUAGCAGGGAAAAAGGGAAACUUGAUGGUACCUGCAGAAAAAGCACCGGCUAACUCCGUGCCAGCAGCCGCGGUAAUACGGAGGGUGCAAGCGUUGUUCGGAAUUAUUGGGCGUAAAGCGCGUGUAGGCGGUUGCCUAAGUCUGGUGUGAAAGCCCGGAACUUAACUCCGGAAGUGCACUGGAUACUGGGCGACUAGAGGGCGAGAGAGGAUGGUGGAAUUCCUGGUGUAGGGGUGAAAUCCGUAGAUAUCAGGAGGAACAUCAGUGGCGAAGGCGGCCAUCUGGCUCGUUUCUGACGCUGAGACGCGAAAGCGUGGGGAGCAAACAGG